rnacentral:tRNA from 1 species
UCCCUGGUGGCCUAGUGGUUGAGGGUCCAGCAUUAUCACUGCUGUGGCUUGGGCCAGUGCUAUGGUGCAAGUUCGAACCCUGGCCUGGGAA